rnacentral:rRNA from 1 species
AAAGCGUGGGGAGCGAACAGGAUUAGAUACCUUGGUAGUACACGCUGUAAACUUUGGGCGAUAGGUGUGGGGGACCUCUCCGGUUCUCUGUGCCGCAGCUAACGCAUUAAGCGCCCCGCAUGGGGAGUACGGCAGCAAGGCUAAAAUUUAAAGGAAUCGACGGGGGCCGGCUCAAACGGAGGAGCAUACGGAUUAUUUGGAAGCUACGCGAAGAACGUUACAUGGGUUUGACAUCGCUGGAAAA